rnacentral:RNase_P_RNA from 1 species
GAUCGCUUGUUUAUACAAGAGGAAAGUCCGGACACUAUAGAGCAGGGUGCUAGAUAACGUCUAGUGGGAGUGAUCCUAAGGAAAGUGCAACAGAAAAUAACCGCUAUAUAAUAGCAAGGGUGAAAACGCGAGGUAAGAGCUCACGAACAGCUAUGGAGACAUAGAUGUGGUGUAAACCCCACCUAGUGCAACACCAGAAUAAAAGGCUAAGAUUGCUCGUCAUCUUUUGAGUUGGUGGCUUGAAGUAUAUAGUGAUAUAUACUCUAGAUAAAUGAUCAUCAAAUACAGAAUCCGGCUUAUGA